CACGUAGGGGGCGAGCGUUGUCCGGAUUUAUUGGGCGUAAAGAGCGUGUAGGCGGCUUUACAGGUCCGUUGUGAAAACUCGAGGCUCAACCUCGAGACGCCGGUGGAAACCGUAAAGCUAGAGUCCGGGAGAGGUGAGUGGAACUGCGAGUGUAGAGGUGAAAUUCGUAGAUAUUCGCAAGAACACCAGUGGCGAAGGCGGCUCACUGGCCCGGUACUGACGCUGAGGUGCGAAAGCGUGGGGAGCAAACAGG
rnacentral:rRNA from 1 species